rnacentral:rRNA from 1 species
UGGGGAAUAUUGCACAAUGGGCGCAAGCCUGAUGCAGCCAUGCCGCGUGUAUGAAGAAGGCCUUCGGGUUGUAAAGUACUUUCAGCGGGGAGGAAGGUGUUGAGGCUAAUAACCUCAGCAAUUGACGUUACCGGCAGAAGAAGCAACGGCUAACUCCGUGCCAGUAGCCGCGGUAAUACGGAGGGUGCAAGCGUUAAUCGGAAUUACUGGGCGUAAAGCGCACGCAGGCGGUCUGUCAAGUCGGAUGUGAAAUCCCCGGGCUCAACCUGGGAACUGCAUUCGAAACUGGCAGGCUAGAGUCUUGUAGAGGGGGGUAGAAUUCCAGGUGUAGCGGUGAAAUGCGUAGAGAUCUGGAGGAAUACCGGUGGCGAAGGCGGCCCCCUGGACAAAGACUGACGCUCAGGUGCGAAAGCGUGGGGAGCAAACA